UGAGGAAUAUUCGUCAAUGGGGGGAACCCUGAACGAGCAACGCCGCGUGGAGGAAGAAGGUCUUUGGAUUGUAAACUCCUUUUCUGUGGGAAGAGCAAGGACGGUACCACAGGAAUAAGUCACGGCUAACUACGUGCCAGCAGCCGCGGUAAUACGUAGGUGGCAAGCGUUAUCCGGAAUUACUGGGCGUAAAGGGCACGCAGGUGGUUUCUUAAGUCUGAUGUGAAAGCUCCUGGCUUAACUGGGAGAGGUCAUUGGAAACUGGGAGACUUGAGGCGAUGAGAGGGGUGUGGAAUUCCGGGUGUAGUGGUGGAAUGCGUAGAUAUCCGGGGGAACACCAGUGGCGAAAGCGGCACCCUGGCAUCGACCUGACGCUCAUGUGCGAAAGCGUGGGUAGCGAACGGGAUUAGAUACCCGUGUAGUCC
rnacentral:rRNA from 1 species